AGAAAGACCUUGCAAAAUUCCAGUCAACAAUCAAAGGAAAGACCUUGACCCUAUAUCUACAGUUUGUUUGUUGUUCAGACUGAGUGAAUUCUAUUGUUCCGCCCUCAAGUUCACUGAUUCUACCCUCUGUCAUCUCCACUCUGCUCUGGAGCUCAUCAAAAUAUAGCCAGCAGGGAUGUACAACAAUAUUUCCAUUUUAAAGUCACUUUGAAGUAACUCCUCUGUGUGUUACCAAGUCAAAAAACAGGUGCCACGGAAUCAGUUCCAACUCACAGCGACCCUAUGUACAACAGAACAAAACACUGCCUGGUCCUGCGCUAUGCCCACAAUUGUUGUUAUCCUUGAGCCCAUUGUUUCAGCCACUGUGCCAACCCAUUUUGCUGAGGGUCUUCCUCUUUUUCAUUGACCCUGUACUUUGGUGGCGUUUUAUUAUGUGGUAAGGCUCAAGAGAGCCCACUGCUUCUCUGAUCAAAGAAUCUAAAACUACAAGAGACCUUGGACAAGGUUUAUUCUGACCCCACCACACUCCCACCUUCCCACCCCAUUUUACAAAUGAAUGCAUUGAGAUCAUUAUGAAGGACAAGUACAAAAACAGUCUCUCUUUCACGCUAAAACUUUAUGGAAUAUUCAGUAUUUGAAAUGUCAUGUUCAUAUCUUCAUAUAUUACUAAAAUGCUAUAAAUAACAACUAUUCCCCUUCUUAGCUGGUAGCUGAGACAAGUGUCCUAAAACCCAGGGGUGAGAGUGGCACCGAAGCCCCACUCUGAACAGGAAUGAGUGAAUAAAACAAAGAUGUCUACUUGGCUCAUCAUGAUUUCUUCUCCAGUUUCUCAACUCUGAAUAAGUCGGUGGGUGACUCAAAUCUUUAAGUGUGAAUCCAUUCAAGGGUACCUUGGAAGAAAGUCUUGGCAACAUACUUUUGAAAGGUCACAGUCACUGAAAACCCUGUGGAGCAACAGUUCUAAUCUGACACAUUUGGGGUCACCAAGAGUUAGAAAUAACUCCAUUGCAACUGAUUUGGCUUUUUUUUUUAAUCUCAAUUCCAAAUAACACACAUGGCUAA